rnacentral:rRNA from 1 species
UACGUAGGCAGCAAGCGUUGUUCGGAAUUACUGGGCGUAAAGAGUGUGUAGGCGGUGCUCUAAGUCUGUUGUGAAAUCUCCCGGCUUAACCGGGAGGGUGCGGCGGAAACUGGAGUGCUCGAGGGUGGGAGAGGUAAGCGGAAUUCCUGGUGUAGCGGUGAAAUGCGUAGAUAUCAGGAGGAACACCUGUGGUGUAGACAGCUUACUGGACCACUUCUGACGCUGAGACACGAAGGCGUGGGUAGCAAACAGG